rnacentral:rRNA from 1 species
GACGAACGCUGGCGGCGUGCCUAAUACAUGCAAGUAGGACGCAGUUGCGAACGGGUGAGUAACGCGUAGGUAACUGCCUAUUAGAGGGGGAUAACUAUUGGAAACGAUAGCUAAUACCGCAUACUAGUAGAUGGACCUGCGUUGUAUUAGCUAGUAGGUAGGGUAAAGGCCUACCUAGGCAACGAUACAUAGCCGACUUGGGAGGGUGUACGGCCACACUGGGACUGAUACACGGCCCAGACUCCGACGGGAGGCAGCAGUAGGGAAUCUUCGGCAAAUGGGGGAACCCUGACCGAGCAACGCCGCGUUAGGGAAGAAGGGUUUCGGAUCGUAAAGCUCUGUUGUUAAGGAAGCGGUACUUAACCAGAAAGGGACGGCUAACUACGUGCCAGCAGCCGCGGUAAUAC